ACCGCAAAACAAGCUGGUAAAAGG
rnacentral:snRNA from 1 species